rnacentral:rRNA from 1 species
CUACGGUGAAUACGUUCCCGGACCUUGUACACACCGCCCGUCAAGCCAUGGAAGCUGGGUGUACCUAAAGUCGAUAACCGUAAGGAGUCGCCUAGGGUAAACUAGUAACUGGGGCU